rnacentral:rRNA from 1 species
CAUGCGAGUCGAGAGGGUUCGGCCCUCGGCUGACGGCUCAGUAACACGUGGAUAAUCUGCCCUUAGGUGGAGGAUAAUCUCGGGAAACUGAGGAUAAUACUCCAUAGAUCUAGGAUGCUGGAAUGCAUCUAGAUUGAAAGCUCCGGCGCCUAAGGAUGAGUCUGCGGACUAUCAGGUUGUAGUCAGGGUAAAGACCUGACUAGCCUACGACGGAUACGGGUUGUGAGAGCAAUAACCCGGAGACGAUAUCUGAGACACGAUAUCGGGCCCUACGGGGCGCAGCAGGCGCGAAAACUUCACACUGUGCGAAAGCGCGAUGAGGGAAUCCCAAGUGUUUGCUCGUAAGAGUAAACUGUUUCUUUGUUUAAAACGCAGAGAGAGUAAGGGCUGGGUAAGACGGGUGCCAGCCGCCGCGGUAAUACCUGCAGCUCAAGUGGUGAUCAUUAUUAUUGGGCCUAAAACGUCCGUAGCCGGUUUAGUAAAUGCCUGGGUAAAUCGUGUAGCUUAACUAUACGACUUCCGGGUAGACUGCUAAACUUGAGACCGGGAGAGGCUAGAGGUACUCCUGGGGUAGAGGUGAAAUUCUGUAAUCCUAGGGGGACCACCAGUGGCGAAGGCGUCUAGCUAGAACGGGUCUGACGGUGAGGGACGAAGCCCUGGGGCACAAACCGGAUUAGAUACCCGGGUAGUCCAGGGUGUAAACGCUGCUUGCUUGAUGUUAGUUGGGCUCCGAGCCCAACUAGUGUCGGAGAGAAGUUGUUAAGCAAGCUGCCUGGGAAGUACGGUCGCAAGGCUGAAACUU